AGUUGACUUUUGCUGAUGGAGCCUCUCUGAAGGGCAAAUUCAAAGUACAGCUGGGUGCUGCAGCACUGGAGUGCGAACUUGUGGCUGUGGUUAUGAAGGAGCCUCGUCAGCUAUGCCUUUAGCCCCUGGUGAAGCAGUGCCAGUCACACUUUGCCAGUCAAACGGAGAGGCAGCAGUAGUAAGACCAGACCAAAUCAAACCAAACCAAGCAAACCACGGGGAAUGGAGGUCAUGUGAGCACACAGCAUAAAGGCAGCUGCCCACAAGCCAGGAAGAGAAGCAUCAUCAGAAACCGACCAUACUGGCUUCCUGAUCUCAGACUUUCAGCCUCCAGAAUGGAUAUAUUUGGCAUUAAACUCGGGACAAAAGAAGACACAAACUUUAUCUUGUGGUUUGGGUCCUCCAAUCCUCAUAAAAGUGUGGUUUCACCUGUUACCUCAUAAAGGUGCCAUUGCUGUAUGCACAUCUGAAUCUGUUUACAAUUUGAGAAUAGAGAUUAUUGCCUGCUCCUCCAAGCCCUUCACUGUAGAAUGGAAGCCUGUGAUUUUCCUGGCAUCAUGCAUGACUGAGAAGGUCAGUGUGGCUAAUUCUGAGCUUCAACAUCAGGAAACCCGUAGUUCUUCACACUGAGCCGCCUCCUGCAGCACAGUCAUCC
rnacentral:lncRNA from 1 species